AACGUAGGAGACAAACGUUAUCCGGAGUUACUGGGCGUAAAGGGCGUGUAGGUGGUUUCGUAAGUCUGGCGUGAAAUUUCUCGGCUUAACCGAGGCAGGUCGUCGGAUACUGCGAGACUUGAGGACGGUAGAGGCGUGUGGAAUUCCGGGUGUAGUGGUGAAAUGCGUAGAGAUCCGGAAGAACACCAGUGGCGAAGGCGGCAUGCUGGGCCGUUGCUGACGCUGAUGCGCGACAGCGUGGGGAGCAAACAGG
rnacentral:rRNA from 1 species